CUGAGAGGCUGUAGAAUUUAGAGGAACUGGAAAAGAAUUCCAGUAAAAGAUGGGAUUUUAAGUUGAGAUUUAGAGGAAGCCAGGGGAGAGGGUAAGCAUGAUAGGAAUGGCAGGGCAGCCUUUGAUUUGACUUAAGGACAACACUUAAGGACAGAAGCUGUCCUAAACCAGGACAGGAUGUGUCUGGAGCUAAGGUGACCCCCGCUGCACAUCUUCAGCUGAAACCGAACAGCUACCUCAGCCUAACACUAUGACAGCUAUGUGCCUAUGGUCCCACCUUGGGGGUGCAAAGACAAUAAAAAGUUUGGGAGGGGGUUACAUUCUAUUGGAAAGAGGUGACAUAAAUAUGUAUGUGAUCAUUUGAGGAAAUACAGAGCAGGGCUUCUUAAAUUUUUUUUCUCUCAUGACCACUUUUUGCCCAAGAAAUUUUUAUGUGACCCCAUAUAUAAAAUAGGUAUACUAAUCAAACAUUUACUGAUAAUCAUUAAGAAAUUUACUUUAGAACAAUUUUUUGUUAUACAUAUAAUUUUACCAUUUAAGAAAGACAAAAGCAAAUUUGCAUUCUAAUGAGAUGGAUGUAUUUGUUUAUUUUUAUCUAAAGAAUUAAAUCUUGGGGGAAUAAGUUGUUACCUUUUACUGCUGCCAAAUUUUUCCAGACCCCCACAUUCAGUUACCCACACUUUUUGAAGCUUUGUGGUAGAACAUUAAUACUUAGGAGGCCCCAGGAAGGCUUUACAAAGCAGGUGGUCUAUGAGCUGUCUUAAGGAAAGUUAGUAAUUCUAAGGGGAGAAAUUGGAGAUGGGGCCGGGGGUGCAGUCCAGGUCUCAGGCAUUGUCUGCAAAAGUGUAAUGAAGAAGAUUGAAUGUCAGGCAUGAAGACUAAUUGCAAACAGGUCAGUCUGGCUAGAAGGUAGAGUUUAUGAAAAAGACCAAUUUGGAAUGAGGCUAGAAAGACCACCUUGUGAAUUAAAUGCCCAACUGGGAAAUUUGCAUUUUAUUCCAAAGUCAAAAAGGGGUCUCUUGGAGUGGCUUCUUGAAUUUGAGUGUGAUAAGAUUGGGUGUGCUUUAGGAAGCUUACUUGGGCUACUUAGGUGAAGAACAAAUAGGAGGGGGAAAAACCUAAAAAGAGAAGUGACCAAUUAGAAAAUGAAAGAUGAAAGAAGAGGAAGGAAAAUGCUAUUUGUAUCCAGAGAAAGAAUAGAUAGAUAGAUGGAUGGAUAGAUGGAUAGUAAAAUGCAUAUAUAUACACAAAGGACCACCUCCUUUGUAAAUAUAUACAUACAUAUUUGUAUCUAAUAAUCAUCUGGGCAGGGCAGGGAAAGAAGAAAAUUUUGGAACUUAAUUUUAUUUAAAAUGAAUCUUUAGCUGGAUAAAUUAUGGUAUAUGAAUGUUAUAGAAUAUUAUGAGAAACGACCAUCAGGAUGAUUUCAGAGAGGCUUGGAGAGACUUACAUGAAUUGAUGCUAAGUGAAAUGAGCAGAACCGACAACGACAAGAUUAUUUCUGAUGGAUGUGGCUCUCUUCAACAAUGAGAUGAUUCAAACCAGUUCCAAAUGUUCAGUGAUGAAGAGAGCUCCUACACCCAGAGAGAGGACUGUGGGAACUGAGUGUGGACCACAACAUAGCAUUUUCACUCUUUCUGUUGUUGUUUGCUUGCAUUAUAUUUUCUUUCUAGGUUUUUUUCUUUCUUAAUCCGAUUUUUCUUGUGCAGCAAGAUAACUGUAUAAAUAUGUAUACAUAUAUUGGAUUUAACAUAUUUAACAUGAAUUGGAUUACCUACCAUCUAGAGGAGGGAGGAGGGAGAAGGAAGGGAAAUUUUGGAACAGAAGAUUUUGCAAGGGUCAAUGUUGAAAAAUUAUCCAUGCAUUUGUUUGUAAAUAAAAAGCUUUAAUAAAAUAAAAAUUUC
ensembl:lncRNA